rnacentral:snRNA from 1 species
GUGCUUGCUUUGGCAGCACAUAUACUAAAACUGGACUAAUACCAAGAAGAUUAGCAUUGCCCCUGCACAAGAUGACACACAAAUUUGUAAAAUUCAUUGAUAUUAA